UACAGAGGUGGCAAGCGUUGUUCGGAAUCACUGGGCGUAAAGCGCACGUAGGCGGCUUGUUAAGUCAGGGGUGAAAUCCUGGAGCUCAACUCCAGAACUGCCUUUGAUACUGGCGAGCUUGAGUUCGGGAGAGGUGAGUGGAACUGCGAGUGUAGAGGUGAAAUUCGUAGAUAUUCGCAAGAACACCAGUGGCGAAGGCGGCUCACUGGCCCGAUACUGACGCUGAGGUGCGAAAGCGUGGGGAGCAAACAGG
rnacentral:rRNA from 1 species